rnacentral:tRNA from 1 species
UGGGCGUUGGCAUAGGCGGCGAAACCGGUGCCCUGGACAUCGGAGUCCAGACCGGCAGCGGUGGACAGCUGGGUCACGACCAGCGCGCCCGCC